UACGUAGGGACCGAGCGUUGUCCGGAAUCAUUGGGCGUAAAGAGCGUGUAGGCGGCCACUUAAGUCCUGCGUGAAAUCUUGCGGCUCAACCGCAAGCGGUCGUGGGAAACUGGGUGGCUAGAGUGCGGGAGAGGAGAGUGGAAUUCCUGGUGUAGCGGUGGAAUGCGCAGAUAUCAGGAAGAACACCCGUGGCGAAGGCGGCUCUCUGGGUAGUAACUGACGCUGAGGAACGAAAGCGUGGGUAGCGAACAGG
rnacentral:rRNA from 1 species